ACAAAUCUACACUAAGUUAGUCUACAACAUUAGACUACUUCACCCCUCGCAAACAUCCACAAAACACUUACACAAUCCACAAAUCCACCACAACAUUAACAUUCAAACAUGCCUUUCGCUGAGCUUUCUUCUUGAAGUUUUGAGUUAGCUGCUUCUCAUGUUCCGGGAGCCAGACACAUUUUUCCUGCAAUGAAAAGUAAAUGAGAGAACAACUUUGUAUCUCCAUCUAAAGUUGUUGAG